UACGGAGGGUGCAAGCGUUAAUCGGAAUUACUGGGCGUAAAGGGUUCGUAGGUUGUUAUGUAAGUUGGCUGUGAAAGCCCCGGGCUCAACCUGGGAUGGUCAGUCAAAACUACAUGGCUAGAGUAUAGUAGAGGGGUGUGGAAUUUCCGGUGUAGCGGUGAAAUGCGUAGAGAUCGGAAGGAACACCAGUGGCGAAGGCG
rnacentral:rRNA from 1 species